CAAUGCCCCUUUUUCCCUUGGAGGACUAGGAAGGUCUCCUGUUGAACAUGCAGGCUUCAGAGGUGUGUGUCUAACAGAUAGUUUGCACAAGCUCUUGUUUUGAAACUCCCUAGGUAAACUGUACUUUUGCUCUCUCCUCUAUGUGUGUGCUUUCAGAGCUUUAUUGCAUGGUGUGAGUUUGUUCAGGCUCCUGACCAGAGCUUUCUGCAGUUUAAAAUGCAAUGAUGAACUUGAAAUUGCAAUGGCCCCUCUAUUCACUGUGCAGCUGAUGGUGUUUCUAGUCCCAGUGUGAAAACCAGAUGGAAACCAAGCUUGUAGACACCUUCUCUGACAUCAAAGUCAGUGGCUGGUAGAGUUUGAGAAACAAGGAAUCACUUAAUUACUAGAGGGAUGGGUGUCUUGGAAAGCCUAACUGAGGCAGUGGCUUUCCUCAGGCACAGCAAGUUCAUCAUCUUCAUCUCCAGCAGGCAUCUACUCUCAGUAAAAUCCUUAACGACUAGCAUUGGAGCAGAGAAGGGCAGGAGAGCAGAGCAGUACCCCGCUGGAAUCCUAGAGGAAUCAUGUUGUCGUGCAACAGCAGGCAACUAGAGCAUGCAAGGAGCUGGCUCUGACUCACCAUCGACCACCACAGCCCCUUGCAGCACACACGCUGCCCACCCUUGACUUGCACUGUGCAGACACUGAUUGUCCAGCACGUAUCAUAGAGCCUGUGUACCUUCUCGAGAGCCCUUCAGCUCAACAAAAAGCAGACAUGCAAUGUGGAUGCCAGCAACAGUCCUGUGGAAGAAAAGCAUCCCUACAGCAUGAUCCUAAUGCUAAGAUAAACACCCCCAAGGACUGAGAAAGGCAGAAGAUCCAAGUCGUCAGCUGGGCAUCGCCCAAGGCUGUCACUGUGGCUGCAGGAGAAGAGGGAAGCGAGACUCUGGGCAAAGGAGGUGGCAGAAGCAAAAUCUAUUUUGUCUCUGAUGUAUGCAAAUACCUCCCGGAGGGGCACUCCUGCUGGGUGCAUGUUUAGUGUAAGUGGGAAGUAGAUGGUGAGCUUCACAUGAAUAAAGUCCUAGCCAGAAAUAAGAGUAAUGGUUUCAUAUACACCCUGGUUUCUGCAGCAGAAAGCCAAGGGCAGAUGAGCUUUAAGUGGGUUGAUGCUGGGACGUUGCAUAGAAUGGCAGGUGGCCAGGCAAGAGCACGAAGCUCAAAGCUCACACUUUACAGCUCAAGCGCUGUGAGUGAGCCGGGUCUGCCACCUGCAUAUGCAUUGCUGUUGCAGGUGGCACCUUUGUCCAUCAGAUCCCUCUGAAUUGAGACAUCCUUUGCUCUCCUCCACAGGACGGACAGCUGACAGGUGUCAUGUUUGAGACCAAGUGUAUGCCAGCAUGUAGGAUCACAGGUGGAUGGCUCACAUAUCAAUAUCAACAGUCAGCCUCAAACAGGGAAAGUCUUUCUAAAGCUGAUGUGUCAAUCAUGCCAUUCUGCUGUCUCUGCUGGGAUCACACAAACCCCAGUCUCACACUCAGUUGACUAACACCAUUUUCCAGGUUUUUAUGGGAGAUUUGGAAAGUCCGUUUCUCCACCUGUAUCCUAAAAAAUAGCCUUUAUGUUCACAACACAAGUCAGUUAAGACAAGAUUUUCGAGCCCGUAAAUACAAAAUGGAAAUUCUAGCCAGUGAAAUCUGAUGUUAAGAAAUAUUGUCUGGGAGCCACUGGCUCAGGAUCUGACCUUGAGAAGCAGUAGAGUGGUCACUGCCAACUGUGCCCUGCCAGUACAAAUGAAAACAGUCACCCCAGGUGAAAUCCUGCAGUUGGUAAUGCUCAAGCUAAGACAAUGACACCCACUGUCACUGAUUUGUUUUCUUGUUCUCAGUUUUGGCCUAGAAUAGGUCUUACCAGGAAGACACUCUUCUUCCUCUUCUUCUUCACACUUAAUGGGAUUAACAUCCCUCAUCCUUUCCUGCUCUCUGUGUUCUUUCUUUAGAAAUGUAGACAUGGAAACAUCUCCCAUUCAAACCACCCCUCCAAAUCCAAGAAGUAUUAUUUGUUUAAAGUCUUAUUUAUUUAUUUAAGCCUAAGACUACUUAAUAAAAUACUGAGCUAUUCACAAUACAGAAGCUCUCUCUUCAGUACAAGGAAUUAAGCAUAUCUUUAUUUCCCUCUCCCCCAGGAAAACUAGAAAUAAUGGACCUAAUUUUGAACAAAACGCGUAUUGCCACCACUAAUAUAACUCAUACAAGACAAAAAAUAAAGGACUUUAAUUAGUUUCAACACAACAAUUUUCCUUCUAGAUAUCUGAUUAAAAUAAGUAACAAGCAGCUCAAUUAGUCAGAACUAAUGAAUUCUGAACAUUUGUGGUCUACAGGCACUUUGUGUUUUAUGAUCUAGAUGUUAACUUCAUAUGAUAAGUAAAAUACUGCCUCUUGUUGGUUAAUACUUCUGGAAAAAAAAAAAAAAGUAAUUCUAACAGUGUUUCUGGGAGCAUUCAAAUAUUACCAGAGAAGGCAUUAAUAGAAAUGCACCCUGUUUCUUUGCUAAUUCACACAGUUUCAGAAAGCUAUGACUUUUUUUUAAUUAUGUUAGCCUCAGUUUUAUGAGGAGCAGAAAAAUCUCAACUUCUGUUUCCUUUGCAAUAAAAGAUUGUUUUCAUGAACAUUCAAGGCUACUUUUCUGGGUUAGGAAAGCAAGAUGAUAUUGU